UACCGGCUGGGCGGAGCUUUCCCGGCCAGAGUUUGGUGAGUCGGGGAGGCGUCGUGGGCGCCUCCGAGGCAGUGAGGCGGCAAAGAGGGUGAGGUGGAUUAGAGAAUUUACUUUUACAGCGCCCUCUACGGAGAACCGAGGGCUAGAACUGAAACAUGGGCGUGUGAGCCAGCUCAGAUCCUGCAGAUAAGAAUAUCCACAGGGAUGGAAGAGCAGCAAGACAGAAGGAACCUGGGCCCAGCUGGCUACAAGGAGCAGUGCUAGACAUCCCGACUCCUGUUGACUGUUAGGUGAAAAAGAAAUAAACCAGUUAAAGUACCUUA